rnacentral:sRNA from 3 species
UGCAUCUGAGGCCAGUGAGGAUGAGAACCUCCGGGGGCAGGAGGUUCGACUCGAGCGAAGCGAGAGAACGUUGCGUCAGCAACGGCCCGCAGGGCGAGCCACGAAGUGGUGAGU